AUUUUGAUAACUUGGGCUUAAUGGGCCAAAGAUCGGGUUCAUGGGCCAACGGGCCCAAUUCGGUAAGUAUGCACGCCAUGCUGCAAAUUCUGUGGUGUGUAGCGGUUGGGUGGGUCGAGUUGUCUCCCCACAUGGUGUAAGGUAAUCCCCAACCAUAGUGGGCUUGGAGCUA